CCUGGGCAGUUUCCAUGGCAACGCCUCCAUGCCUGCCGUAGCAGCUACGUGCUGCCUGGCAUGUGCACUCUGCCAGGUCCCUGGAGGGCACUGCUGUCUCUCACUUGCUCAGGGUUCAGGAGUUGUUAAUCCCGGAUUCAGAUAAUAAUAUCCAAAGGCAAUCAGGGGACAUUGAACCAGCUGGAGCUGAAGGCUCCUCUCUGUGGGCCUUGGAAGGAGGGGCCUCUGCAUUCCUCCGCCUGCCAUAGGCUGGGCCUGCAGCAAGUGCUCAACUACAGUGGGAAGAAUGGCUGAGUGAAGGAGAGACCCUCCCAGACUACAAUGCAAACAAAUAACAAAGAAGGAGGAGGAGAAUCAAUAUGGAUUGGUUCACAGGACCCACAGCAGAGGGACAGCUGGGUCUUUGAGUGAAGAGCUAAACAGUGGUGAUGUCUGAAUGGUCUUGAGUUUUCAGGAGCAUCUUUCAUUCUAAAGAAGCAACCCUUGAUGGGCUCCUGGACAGCUUCAGGGUGGAAGCCGGUCACCAAAAAGCCCAAGCCGUGAUUAGAAGCUUGGAACUUUCAGCCACACCCCACCCCUAUCCUCCAGGAAAGAAGAGGGGCUAGAGGUUGAAUUAAUAACCAUUCAUGCCUUCUUGAUUAAGCCUAAUAAAAGUCGCCAAAGUACAGGGUUCAGAGACCUGGGUUGGUGAACACAUCUAUGUGCCAGGAAGGUGGUGUGCCCUGACUCACUGGAGACAGAAGCUCCUGCAAUCAGACCCUUCCAGACCUCACCCUGUGUACCUCUUCAUUUGCCUGUUCAUCUGUAUUCAUUAUCAUAUCCUUUAUAAUAAGCCAAUAAACAUAAGUCUCUCUCCAAGUUCUGUGAGUAUAAUUUGUCAGAGCAAAUUAUCA
rnacentral:lncRNA from 10 species